rnacentral:rRNA from 1 species
CACUCUAAGUUGACUGCCGGUGACAAACCGGAGGAAGGUGGGGAUGACGUCAAAUCAUCAUGCCCCUUAUGAUUUGGGCUACACACGUGCUACAAUGGACAAUACAAAGGGCAGCAAAACCGCGAGGCCAAGCAAAUCCCAUAAAGUUGUUCUCAGUUCGGAUUGUAGUCUGCAACUCGACUACAUGAAGCUGGAAUCGCUAGUAAUCGUAGAUCAGCAUGCUACGGUGAAUACGUUCCCGGG